AUACGUAGGUGGCGAGCGUUGUCCGGAUUUACUGGGUGUAAAGGGCGAGUAGGCGGGGAUUCAAGUCAGAUGUGAAAUACCGAGGCUUAACUUCGGAGCUGCAUUUGAAACUGGAUUUCUUGAGUGAUGGAGAGGCAGGCGGAAUUUCCGGUGUAGCGGUGAAAUGCAUAGAGAUCGGGAGGAACACCAGUGGCGAAGGCGGCCUGCUGGACAUUAACUGACGCUGAGGCGCAAAAGUGUGGGGAGCAACCAGGAUUAGAUACCCUGGUAGUCCACACCGUAAACGAUGGAUACUAGGUGUGGGGGGUUUGACCCCCUCCGUGCCGGAGUUAACACAAUAAGUAUCCCACCUGGGGAGUACGAUCGCAAGAUUGAAACUCAAAUGAAUUGACGGGG
rnacentral:rRNA from 1 species